CAGGCAUUGAAGUCAGUCAAAUAAGAAAUGGGUCAUAGUCAAAAAAAUUGAAUAGAUUCACUUCAAUUUAAGUUGGAAAAAGUGAAAAAAAGAAAAAGAAAAAGCUGAAAAAGAUAAACCAGAAAACGUGAAGCUUUGUGGAUCACGAGCUACAUUGAAGAAUGCAUAGGGCAAUGAGAUGUGAAAACGACGUCGUCUGCAGGUUCAGAAGAGCAGUAGUAGAGAAGUAGACGAGGAAGAAGUGAGUCGUGGUAGUAGUGUUCUUGCAGCUUCAGAAGAGCAGUAGUAGAGAAGUAGACGAGGAAGAAGUGAGUCGUGGUAGUAGUGUUCUUGCUCUUCUUCCAUACUUUUUGUUUUUUUUUUUCUAAGAGAAUAAUGGGGAAAUUAUUUAUUUAUUUAUAUUUUUAUUUAUUUAUUCACUUAAUUGUAUAGGAGUAUUUUAUAUUAUAAAAGUGGAGAGAGGAAUGGAGACAAAGGGGAG
rnacentral:lncRNA from 1 species